AUACAAGCUUUGAAGAGACUAGUAGUUGCUGUAAGACUAUAGAGAGGGAAUGGCUGGUGAAAAUUCCUGUCCCAUGCAGCAGUGAACCUGACUCCGAGCAUUCAGGCCAAUAACCUGAACGGCUAAAACCGUUAAAUGAUUGAGUGACUGCGAAAGCAGUAAUUAGAGUGGUACCGCGGAUAUCCGUCUCUUUG
rnacentral:ncRNA from 1 species